GGGAUCGAAAACGACAAAGAGGAUAAACAGAAUCACUGACCAAAACAACCUGCUCUUGUGCUUGAAAAUCGAUACCCAUCAAUGUCCUGCAGGAUGGGACUUCCGGGAAAAGCUCUUAGACCUUCAUUAGGAGAGAGACAGAGAGGCAAAGCCAAAAGCCAACACCCGCACUCACCCCCACGUUGACGGCCACGCCUCGCCCAUACACGGCUCCCGGCCCUGCAUCAAGGGGCCCGGGAGAGAAGGACAGGCACCAGAAGGAGAGAGGAAACCGAGGGAAAUAAGAGUGAAGAACAAUUCGUAAGGGAAAAAGGAAACAACCAGAGAAAAGGGGGAAGAUUAGGCGAAAAAAGGAGAGGAGAAAGACAGAUGAUGGCGAGAUAAGACACGGAGGCCGACAGAGGAGGGAAUGGAGGAAUGC